CGGGGCGUAGCGCAGCCCGGCUAGCGCGCUUGGUUCGGGACCAAGAGGUCGCGAGUUCAAAUCUCGCCGCCCCGA
rnacentral:tRNA from 1 species